AAAGUCGUAACAAGGUUUCCGUAGGUGAACCUGCGGAAGGAUCAUUACUGAUUUGCGUGUGGCCGCCAGGCCCGCCAUUAUCACCCCCGGCCGCGUGUCCCCCCCCUGGGCGCCGGCAGUCCAACUCUUUUUGCGUGCCGCGCAUAUUGCGGCAGCAUUUAUUUACCACCCCGCGGUCUGCCCGACCGAUAGCGUGAGUGCACCUUGAACAAUCAACCAAUCAAUCCAAUACACUCUCAACAAUGGAUCUCUUGGCUCUU
rnacentral:misc_RNA from 1 species